GCCCCUGUAGUCUAGCCGGCCAAGGAUAUCGGCCUCUCGAGCCGAUGACCCGGGUUCAAAUCCCGGCGGGGGCA
rnacentral:tRNA from 1 species